rnacentral:rRNA from 1 species
GAUGAACGCUGGCGGCGUGCCUAAUACAUGCAAGUCGAACGAACUUCCGUUAAUUGAUUAUGACGUACUUGUACUGAUUGAGAUUUUAACACGAAGUGAGUGGCGAACGGGUGAGUAACACGUGGGUAACCUGCCCAGAAGUAGGGGAUAACACCUGGAAACAGAUGCUAAUACCGUAUAACAGAGAAAACCGCAUGGUUUUCUUUUAAAAGAUGGCUCUGCUAUCACUUCUGGAUGGACCCGCGGCGUAUUAGCUAGUUGGUGAGGUAAAGGCUCACCAAGGCAGUGAUACGUAGCCGACCUGAGAGGGUAAUCGGCCACAUUGGGACUGAGACACGGCCCAGACUCCUACGGGAGGCAGCAGUAGGGAAUCUUCCACAAUGGACGCAAGUCUGAUGGAGCAACGCCGCGUGAGUGAAGAAGGGUUUCGGCUCGUAAAGCUCUGUUGUUAAAGAAGAACGUGGGUAAGAGUAACUGUUUACCCAGUGACGGUAUUUAACCAGAAAGCCACGGCUAACUACGUGCCAGCAGCCGCGGUAAUACGUAGGUGGCAAGCGUUGUCCGGAUUUAUUGGGCGUAAAGCGAGCGCAGGCGGUCUUUUAAGUCUAAUGUGAAAGCCUUCGGCUCAACCGAAGAAGUGCAUUGGAAACUGGGAGACUUGAGUGCAGAAGAGGACAGUGGAACUCCAUGUGUAGCGGUGAAAUGCGUAGAUAUAUGGAAGAACACCAGUGGCGAAGGCGGCUGUCUGGUCUGCAACUGACGCUGAGGCUCGAAAGCAUGGGUAGCGAACAGGAUUAGAUACCCUGGUAGUCCAUGCCGUAAACGAUGAUUACUAAGUGUUGGAGGGUUUCCGCCCUUCAGUGCUGCAGCUAACGCAUUAAGUAAUCCGCCUGGGGAGUACGACCGCAAGGUUGAAACUCAAAAGAAUUGACGGGGGCCCGCACAAGCGGUGGAGCAUGUGGUUUAAUUCGAAGCUACGCGAAGAACCUUACCAGGUCUUGACAUCUUCUGACAGUCU